rnacentral:lncRNA from 12 species
GAAGGGAAGGAAAGGAACUGCCCUGAUGCUCUGUCUGCUCCUCCGGUCCCUGGAGGUUCCUCUCACGGAAUGUGCAAUGGAAAAGCCCCGCUGCUUCCAGCAAUUCAGCCCUGGAUUCUCCAGGGAUGGGAACCUGAUGAUUGUGGGAUUUUUUCCCCCCUUUUAUUGAGAACAAUCCCAUCCCAUUUCACAUCAGCAACCUGAGAAACUACUUGCUGAAGACUCAUGAUCUGCUACAUCUUGGUGACCCUCUCUGGCCUUCACCAUCUUGACCAAUGCAGCUACAGCGAUUUCUGCUUGUUGAGAGGUUUCGAUUUACUGGAGACGAUGUGUGGUCACGGCUGCUUUGGCGGGAAGAUCAGCCAUCUUGACCCAAUUUGAGAUGUCCGCCAUUUUGGGUGCCCCUGUCUCUCAGCCUGCCCAACAGGUAAUGACUUAAGAAGUAGUUCACAGGAAAACAAGUUUACAAAACUGAUUUAAAAACAUCAAGAUGGGGACACCUGGGUGGCUCAGUGGUUAAGCAUCUGCCUUUAGCUCAGGUCGAGAUCUUGGGGUCCUAGGAUUGAGUCCUCCAUCAGGCUCCCUGAAGGGAUCCUGCUUCUCCCUCUGCCUAGGUUUCUGCCUCUCUCUGUGUGUCUCUCAUGAAUAAAUACAAAUCUAAAAAAAAAAAAAAAAAAAAA